GACGCCUCCUGCGAGCACCUGACUCCCAGAGCUACUCCCGCAGAGAGUUGUAACUGCACGCAUUGCCUUCUUGCAGCAAAUAACUAAACUGUGACUCGCAGCUGCUGCUGCAAUUUUUAGUGAUGGAGCUGGAACUCUGAGCUGAUCUGCACAUGCAUUCCUCUGGCCACAGGGACUGCUUCAGGAGCAACAUGGAAACGAGCUUGGAUGAAAAAGGAUGAGAAGAGACGUGCAGAACCUUCUGAGAAAGAGUUUCCCUCAUUCUUACAAGAGAAUCACAGGAAGAAACACCCUCUUUUUCUCUGGACCUUGAGGAAGGCAGAUUUUGCCAUGGGAAAAGUCAGUGUAAGGACGAAUCCAACAAACAGAGGAAUAACAAACAGUCUUGGCAGGCAGGAUUAAGUUAAACCUGAAGCGUUCUCUGCUCUGGAAUUCCGUUAUGUGGACCCGUGAAUUCCCAGUUACUGAACCAGUAAAAAAUUAGUUCAGUCUGAGUUUCUGUUACUUUCAAGCAAAAGUAUCCUAACUGCAAAGGUUUCUGUGAAUUCCUAACUCCUGGACCCUGAUCCUGAGGCAAUGCAAGAGGACGCAUGAAUAACAAUCUGAACAAACAAAUAUCAGUACACUUCCAGUCAAACCAUUAAGAGGGAGGCCUCAACAGCAAGAUCAUUUUCCAAGUGUGUGGGGCUUCAAGAGUGGGGAGAAGAUCCAGUGAGCCUUUCUGAGGGCACUCUGUUUAGUAUUCAGUAUUCGGCUUAUUAACCUGGCAGUCCUGUCCUUCUGACUUGAAUAGUUUUGUGAGUUAAGGAUAGUUUACAACUUUUCUGACUCUUGCAGGUGACUCAUUCAUCAGAUGGCCUUUCUAUACCAGCCACGUGUUUCCCACUCCUCUUCCUCCUACUUCGUGUGACGUUGCACAUUCCACAUUUUAGCUCAUUGAGCAUAAGAAAUAGGCAAGGCACAUGCGGUGACCAUAGCUACCAGGCCCCUGUGGCAGACACUGUUGGCUGUCUUCCCAAGGUCAUACCAAGUUUCCCAGCUUCCUUGCUGGCGUGGCUGUCUCCCCCAGCAGAGACAAAAAAUGCCAAGUACUCGCAUUCUCAGCCUCCCUGGUGACCCCAAUUCUGGCCAGUGAUGUAAAGGGAAGUCUGCUUGGAAUUUAUGAGAAAGAAGAAAAGAAAGAACGGUUUGUCCUCACUCCCCACCCGCUGCCUUUCUGUUUUUAAUGUGAUUGUGUGAAGAUGUGAUGCUCAGAACCCAGGAGGCCAUGUUGUGACAAUGGGGGUCAAGAUCAAGAAAUUGUAGUGCUGGCCUGGGUAGCUCAGUUCGUUAGAGUGGAUAUGCCAAGGUUGUGGGUUCAAUCUCUGGUCAGCGCACAUACAAGAAUCAGCCAAUGAGUGCAUAAAUAAGUGAACAACAAAUCAAUA